UACGUAGGGGGCAAGCGUUGUCCGGAUUUAUUGGGCGUAAAGAGCGUGUAGGCGGCCAGACAGGUCUGUUGUGAAAACUCGAGGCUCAACCUCGAGACGCCGAUGGAAACCGUCUGGCUAGAGUCCGGAAGAGGAGAGUGGAAUUCCUGGUGUAGCGGUGAAAUGCGCAGAUAUCAGGAAGAACACCCGUGGCUAAGGCGGCUCUCUAGUACGGUACUGACGCUGAGACGCGAAAGCGUGGGGAGCGAACAGG
rnacentral:rRNA from 1 species